GACGAACGCUGGCGGCGUGCCUAAUACAUGCAAGUCGAACGCGUGGCGAACGGGUGAGUAAUACGUGAGUAACCUGCCCUCUUUCUGGGAUAAGCCUUGGGAACGGGGUCUAACACCCGCUAAUGGGGGAUGGGCUCGCGGCCUGUCAGCUUGUUGGUGGGGUGAUGGCCUCACGAGGCGGUGACGGGUUGCCGGGCUGAGAGGGUGAACGGGCACAUAGGGACGGAGAAACGGCCCAGGCUCGUACGGGGGGGAGAAGUGGGGGAUAUGGCACAAAGGGGGAAAGACUGAUGCAGCGAGGCCGCGUAGGGGAUGAGGGCUUUAAGGUUGUAACGCUCUUUCGCUAUAGGGUGGGUAGGUGGAGAAGAAGCGCCGGCUAACUACGUGCCAGCAGCCGCGGUAAUUC
rnacentral:rRNA from 1 species